GACGAACGCUGGCGGCGUGCUUAACACAUGCAAGUCGAACGGGCCUUGUCCCCUUUUUUUUUGGGGGUGGGGUUAGUGGCGAACGGGUGAGUAACACGUGAGUAACCUGCCCCUCACUUCUGGAUAACCGCUUGAAAGGGUGGCUAAUACGGGGUGUUCUGGCCUGCUCGCAUGGGUGGGUUUGGAAAGAUUCGACCGGUUUUGGUUGUUUUGGUGGGGGAUGGGCUCGCGGCCUAUCAGCUGGUUGGUGGGGUGAUGGCCUGCCAAGGCUUUGACGGGUAGCCGGCCUGAGAGGGUGGGCGGUCACGCUGGGACUGAGACACGGCCCAGACUCGUACGGGAGGCAGCAGUGGGGAAGAUUGCACGAUGGGCGCAAGCCUGAUGCAGCGACGCCGCGUGAGGGAUGGAGGCCUUCGGGUUGUGAACCUCUUUCGCCAGUGAAGAAGGUCCUGCUCUUUGUGGUGGGGUUGACGGUAGCUGGGUUAAUGAAGCGCCGGCUAACUACGUG
rnacentral:rRNA from 1 species